rnacentral:rRNA from 1 species
CCCUAUUAUUUUUAUAAUGAUUUUAAUGUAAGGUAGUAAAUGAUAUGGUCAGGANACUUAAAGAAUUUGGCGGUGUUUAUUCUAAUUAGAGGAAUAUGUUUUUGAAAUGAUAAUCCCCAGAUAUCUUACUUAAAUUAGAAUUUUGUAUAUCUCCGUCUAAAAAAGUUUUUUGGAAAUAUAUUUUAAAUAGCUAUAAAGAUUGAAGUCAGGUCAAGGUGGCAGAUUAUAUUUAAGUGAAAAUGUAUUACAAUAAAUUUAUUUAUGGGAUUAUUAUGGNNCUAGAUAAAUAAAUUGGGAUUUAAAAGUAAAUUUAUUUUUAUAAUAUUAAAGUU